rnacentral:lncRNA from 1 species
AGGGAAUCUGGAAAUUCUAGAAAUUAAAGAGAAUAAGAAAUUUAAUCCCGAGAUAAAAUUGCACAAAACCGAAAUAAUCUCCUUACAUUUCCAAGUGUAUAAGCCAAAGAAAACAGAGCUCGUGACUUGAUCAUUUCCUAUCUUGUUUUCCAGUUUGCAGUCAAUGAAUCGUCGGCGAAGGGCGUCAGGCAAGUGAUUGGCAAGGGAGGAUUGAAUUACUGGGUUUUACUUCAAAGUUUAGAAUUGGAAGCCGCGGAGCCGAGGGGUUUCUCUCGUGAUGAGAUUGAGUUGGGAAUAGGACGAUUUCUUGCAUUGAAUUUCAGUUUGGUAACGGCAUUCUUUGAAUUCGAAACUGGAAGGGUUCUUUGAUUAAACCCAUUUUCAUCAUUUUUGAAUUACUUUUUAAAAAAAAAUCCUCUUUAGUUGGUGGAUCACGCCACUAUGGGUCCGCCAGUGCGUGCUUGGCCAGUUGGCAAGAGAGCUCACGCCAUAGUUGAGGCCGCUCUUUACUUAGGUUUGGG